AGUGCUCACAGACAGUGCUUUUGCCUGCGAUGCCCCUUUGGCCUCCAGUAACCCUCACCGUCCAAUCUUUCCUUCAGCUGGCUCGCCUGUGAGACCAGUACUGCCCUGAAGACAACAAGUACCUACAUCCACAGGAGACAAAAUGGAAAGAGGAAAAGAGGAUGCACUUAUGGCGCUUAAGAAAAUUAGGAAGUUGGAGGAGGCUAUGCAGUGAGAAGCCAAUGCUGCUAUGGAACGUUUUUUACAGAUGAUGGAGGAGCAAGAGUCAAGAGAGGCUGCAGCAUGGGAAAGGGAGCUGGCAGAGCGUCGGGAAGAAGCUGCAGAGGCAAGGCGUUAGCAGAGCUUUCUGGACCUUUUUGCAAAGCUUGUGGAGGGGGGACAACCCCCCUGCCCACCCAACACUGGACUAAACCUGCUAUUUAAUAGUAAAUAACAUUAACAAUUUUUUAUUUCUGUGCAUUUUGCAUUUGUACAUAUCCUUGCACAAGAUAAUUCUAUUAUAUUUUGUCUGUGAUUGUUUCUGUUUUUCUAUUGGUUAUCCAAUGUGUUUGAAUAAAGAUUUUAUAGUAAACUGAAGACUUAAAAGAAGUACUCAUGUUAGACUAAAAAAAAAGUAGGGUUUAAAAAUGAGUUAAAUUCAUUCCAAAGUAAUAUUGUUUAAAAUGUAUUAAUUUUGUUCAUAUAAAAUGUAUAGUUUUUAAGGGCAAACUCCUCAUUAAAAUUGCAUCACAUUUAUUUGAAAUAUAUGUACAUUAAAGUUUACUCAGUUCAGUUUGGUGUCAUACCAAGGAGAUGCAUAAAUCUUAUAAAUAGUGAAGUCAUGAAGGUAUAGAUCAAUAGGUUUGCAUUUUCUCAAUAAAAUAGAUGUUUUUUACUACAAUUAGCAUAGUUGAACUAUAGUUCAACUAUGAUAUUCAAAGUAAGACCACAACAAUAAUGCAGGAAAACCCAAACUAUGGUAGUAAAAAUCAUAAUCAUUCUGACACAAAAAAUAAAUAAAUAUUGUUAGUACAGUUUUACUAGAAACACCAUGGUCAAUUUGUGGUACAAGUAUAGUUUAAAAACCAUUGGUUUCACUAUAGUAAACCUUUGUUUUUUAUUUUUUAAACCAUGGUACAUGUACCACAAAUUAACCAUGGUGUUACUAUAGUAAAAGUAACCAUGGUUUGUUUUUUAUUGGCAGAAUGAUUAUAAUUUUUGUUAGCAUAAUUUCCUGAAUUAUUACUACAGUUUUACCACAAAUAUCAUGGUUUAAAUAUGGCUACUGUAGUAAAACCAUAGGUUUACUAAACAUAGUUUAACCAUGAUAUUUGUAGUAAAGCUGUAGUAACCACAAAACAAUAUUACGAUAUUAAAACCAUUUUUUAAAUUAAUGCUAGGGAAGGCAAAACUAUUUUAGAUAGGAAUCAAAAUGAAAUUUAAUA